GGCUGAACAACAGCAGCACGUUUAAGCUUGAUCAGCUGUUGUUAGAAUUUAUUUAAUAUUACUUUCUACUCGAGGAUCUUUUUCUACGUAGCUGACGCUGGUAACUGUGCAGGGGCGGAUCUAGCAAAGUUUAGCCAGGGGGGCCGAUAGGGCAUUAACAGGGAAAAGGGGGCACAAAGACAUACUUUUCUUUCUUAUUCUCAUUUAAAAUGUCUAGCUUUUAAUAAAUAAUUAUCUGACACCCAAAGUUUUAAUUUGAUGUAAAAUGAAUAGAAGUCAAUUACUGUAUAUAGUAACUAUUAAGUCUAAUAUACCCUAGUAAGCUAUAGUACUUUUUCCUUUGGGAAGGUACCAUCUGUGCAGUCUGCAAUUUUGUUGAAGAAAGAUGUUGAAUCUAUUUAAUAUUUCUUGAAAAAUAAUUGAUUUCUGUGCAUUUUUUUUCACACUGCAUCAAAUUAAGGUUGAUUACGUCGAUUAAGCAUCAUGAGGUGGCGCGUGAGGGGUGGUUUCCUAUUUUUUAUUUAUUUAUUUUUGUUGUUGCUGGGAGUUGGAACCCUAUUAGUUAGGUUGCUUAAUAUUUAUGCUAAGUACUCUUUAAAAUACCAGAAUAGGGAGGAUGGUGUAGGUUUAAGUUUAUUAGAUUGAUCAGUAUUGCUGAACUAUGAAAUUUUUUUUUUUGCAUACAGGUAUAACAGAAUAGCUUUAGUGUAGUUGUUGUUUUAAACUUGAGUAUGAACUUAUACAAAAUGCAGCAAGAUAUUUAAAAAACAGUUUUGUUGAUUAAAAAACAUUAUAUCGGAUUCAUAUCGGUAUCGGCAGAUAUCCAAAUUUAUGAUAUCGGUAUCGGUAUCGGACAUAAAAAAGUGGUAUCGUGCCAUCUCUAUACAGGACAUCAGAUUACUUGUUCUUAUCACUUAAUAAUGCAGAGUUCAUCAUAUAGAAAUAAAAAAACUGAAGUUGUGCGCCAUUUGAACACCUUGCCUGCCUGCAGCACUAAAGGACUCUGUGAGAGAUGUCUGUCUCGCCCUAGCAGCACCUGUCCCUGUCCUCCUCUUCAGUUCACCUCAACAUACGCUCGUUAUAUUCUGUGAUAUGAUUUACUCUGCGGUGUUUGAUGAGGUUAGUGGUGUUGCCACAACCAUACAUGCCAAACCUCCCGAUUUUUCCGGGAGAAUCCUGAAUUUCAGUGCCCCUCCCGAAAGUCUCCCAGAGUCACCAUUCUCCCGAAUUUCUCCCGAUUUUCCACUGUGACGUACUACCCGGCUUGCUUUAGACCGCGAAGGCCGGGUCCUCAGGUGGAAGCAGCCUCUGAAUUUGGACACCCCCGCUGUUUCCAGGCCGGCCAAUAAUAAC
ensembl:lncRNA